rnacentral:rRNA from 1 species
AUUGAACGCUGGCGGCAUGCCUUACACAUGCAAGUCGAACGGUAACGCGGGGCAACCUGGCGACGAGUGGCGAACGGGUGAGUAAAGCAUCGGGACGUGCCCAAUAGUGGGGGAUAGCCCGGCGAAAGCCGGAUUAAUACCGCAUACGACCUGAGGGUGAAAGCGGGGGAUCGCAAGACCUCGCGCUGACGGAGCGGCCGAUGUCAGAUUAGGUAGUUGGUGGGGUAAAGGCCUACCAAGCCGACGAUCUGUAGCUGGUCUGAGAGGACGACCAGCCACACUGGGACUGAGACACGGCCCAGACUCCUACGGGAGGCAGCAGUGGGGAAUUUUGGACAAUGGGGGAAACCCUGAUCCAGCCAUGCCGCGUGCGGGAAGAAGGCCUUCGGGUUGUAAACCGCUUUUGUCGGGGAAGAAAUCCCUCAGGCUAAUACCUUGAGGGGAUGACGGUACCCGAAGAAUAAGCACCGGCUAACUACGUGCCAGCCGCCGCCGUAA